rnacentral:rRNA from 1 species
AGUCGAGCGGAAACGAUGAUAGCUUGCUAUCAGGCGUCGAGCGGCGGACGGGUGAGUAAUACUUAGGAAUCUACCUAGUAGUGGGGGAUAGCACGGGGAAACUCGUAUUAAUACCGCAUACGACCUACGGGAGAAAGGGGGCAGUUUACUGCUCUCGCUAUUAGAUGAGCCUAAGUCGGAUUAGCUAGAUGGUGGGGUAAAGGCCUACCAUGGCGACGAUCUGUAGCUGGUCUGAGAGGAUGAUCAGCCACACCGGGACUGAGACACGGCCCGGACUCCUACGGGAGGCAGCAGUGGGGAAUAUUGGACAAUGGGGGAAACCCUGAUCCAGCCAUGCCGCGUGUGUGAAGAAGGCCUUUUGGUUGUAAAGCACUUUAAGCAGUGAAGAAGACUCCUCGGUUAAUACCCGUGGACGAUGACAUUAGCUGCAGAAUAAGCACCGGCUAACUCUGUGCCAGCAGCCGCGGUAAUACAGAGGGUGCAAGCGUUAAUCGGAAUUACUGGGCGUAAAGGGAGCGUAGGUGGCUCGAUAAGUCAGAUGUGAAAUCCCCGGGCUCAACCUGGGAACUGCAUCUGAUACUGUUGAGCUAGAGUAUGUGAGAGGAAGGUAGAAUUCCAGGUGUAGCGGUGAAAUGCGUAGAGAUCUGGAGGAAUACCGAUGGCGAAGGCAGCCUUCUGGCAUAAUACUGACACUGAGGCUCGAAAGCGUGGGUAGCAAACAGGAUUAGAUACCCUGGUAGUCCACGCCGUAAACGAUGUCUACUAGUCGUUGGGUCCCUUGAGGACUUAGUGACGCAGCUAACGCAAUAAGUAGACCGCCUGGGGAGUACGGCCGCAAGGUUAAAACUCAAAUGAAUUGACGGGGGCCCGCACAAGCGGUGGAGCAUGUGGUUUAAUUCGAUGCAACGCGAAGAACCUUACCUGGUCUUGACAUAUCUAGAAUCCUGCAGAGAUGCGGGAGUGCCUUCGGGAAUUAGAAUACAGGUGCUGCAUGGCUGUCGUCAGCUCGUGUCGUGAGAUGUUGGGUUAAGUCCCGCAACGAGCGCAACCCUUGUCCUUAGUUACCAGCGGGUUAAGCCGGGAACUCUAAGGAUACUGCCAGUGACAAACUGGAGGAAGGCGGGGACGACGUCAAGUCAUCAUGGCCCUUACGACCAGGGCUAC